rnacentral:rRNA from 1 species
CCUACGGGAGGCAGCAGUGGGGAAUAUUGGACAAUGGGCGGAAGCCUGAUCCAGCCAUGCCGCGUGUGUGAAGAAGGCCUUUUGGUUGUAAAGCACUUUAAGCGAGGAGGAGGCUACUAGUACUAAUACUACUGGAUAGUGGACGUUACUCGCAGAAUAAGCACCGGCUAACUCUGUGCCAGCAGCCGCGGUAAUACAGAGGGUGCGAGCGUUAAUCGGAUUUACUGGGCGUAAAGCGUGCGUAGGCGGCUUUUUAAGUCGGAUGUGAAAUCCCCGAGCUUAACUUGGGAAUUGCAUUCGAUACUGGGAAGCUAGAGUAUGGGAGAGGAUGGUAGAAUUCCAGGUGUAGCGGUGAAAUGCGUAGAGAUCUGGAGGAAUACCGAUGGCGAAGGCAGCCAUCUGGCCUAAUACUGACGCUGAGGUACGAAAGCAUGGGGAGCAAACAGGAUUAGAUACCCUGGUAGUCCAUGCCGUAAACGAUGUCUACUAGCCGUUGGGGCCUUUAGGAGGCUUUAGUGGCGCAGCUAACGCGAUAAGUAGACCGCUGGGGAUACGGUGCAAGACUAAAACUUAAAGNGAAUUGACGGU